rnacentral:other from 1 species
UUGUCCCUACGCUGUUCGUGAUGCCGGGGGGGACGUUUCAACCUCGUUUACAAAAGGGGAGCUGUGGAAGAGGGCGGUGUGCAAGCCCCUCUCGAAGGGGAAGCCUGAAGCCCUCCGAUUAACGGCGCCCACCUGGUAAUACCAGGUUCGAAACACCUUCGGCACACGGCAGAGGUGGGGAUUUG